UACAGAGGGGGCAAGCGUUGUUCGGAAUCAUUGGGCGUAAAGGGUGUGUAGGUGGCGCGUUAAGUCGGGUGUGAAAUUUCGGAGCUUAACUCCGAAACUGCAUUCGAUACUGGCGUGCUUGAGGACUGGAGAGGAGACUGGAAUUCAUGGUGUAGCAGUGAAAUGCGUAGAGAUCAGGAGGAAUACCGAUGGCGAAGGCAGGUCUCUGGGCUGAUACUGACGCUCAUGCACGAAAGCGUGGGGAGCAAACAGG
rnacentral:rRNA from 1 species